rnacentral:rRNA from 1 species
UAACUUGAGAGUUUGAUCCUGGCUCAGAACGAACGCUGGCGGCAGGCCUAACACAUGCAAGUCGAGCGCGCCCUUCGGGGUGAGCGGCGGACGGGUUAGUAACGCGUGGGAACGUACC